UACGAAGGGUGCAAACGUUGCUCGGAAUUAUUGGGCGUAAAGCGCACGUAGGCGGCUUUGUAAGUUGGAUGUGAAAGCCCUCGGCUCAACCAAGGAAGUGCAUCCAAAACUACAAGCUUGAGUACUUAAGAGGAUCGCGGAAUUCCCGGUGUAGAAGGUCGGAAAUUCGUAGAGUAUCGGGAAGGAACACCAGUGGCGAAGGGCGGAGCAGAU
rnacentral:rRNA from 1 species